rnacentral:rRNA from 1 species
GCUACAGGCUUAACACAUGCAAGUCGAGGGGCAGCAUGGUCUUAGCUUGCUAAGGCCGAUGGCGACCGGCGCACGGGUGAGUAACACGUAUCCAACCUGCCGUCUACUCUUGGACAGCCUUCUGAAAGGAAGAUUAAUACAAGAUGGCAUCAUGAGUCCGCAUGUUCACAUGAUUAAAGGUAUUCCGGUAGACGAUGGGGAUGCGUUCCAUUAGAUAGUAGGCGGGGUAACGGCCCACCUAGUCUUCGAUGGAUAGGGGUUCUGAGAGGAAGGUCCCCCACAUUGGAACUGAGACACGGUCCAAACUCCUACGGGAGGCAGCAGUGAGGAAUAUUGGUCAAUGGGCGAGAACCUGAACCAGCCAAGUAGCGUGAAGGAUGACUGCCCUAUGGGUUGUAAACUUCUUUUAUAAAGGAAUAAAGUCGGGUAUGGAUACCCGUUUGCAUGUACUUUAUGAAUAAGGAUCGGCUAACUCCGUGCCAGCAGCCGCGGUAAUACGGAGGAUCCGAGCGUUAUCCGGAUUUAUUGGGUUUAAAGGGAGCGUAGAUGGAUAUUUAAGUCAGUUGUGAAAGUUUGCGGCUCAACCGUAAAAUUGCAGUUGAUACUGGAUAUCUUGAGUGCAGUUGAGGCAGGCGGAAUUCGUGGUGUAGCGGUGAAAUGCUUAGAUAUCACGAAGAACUCCGAUUGCGAAGGCAGCCUGCUAAG